rnacentral:tRNA from 1 species
GCCUCUAUAGCUAAGUGGUAGAGCACUGGUCUCGUAAUCCAGGGAAUGUAAGUUCAAUCCUCACUGAAGGUU